UUUAACUGAAGAGUUUGAUCAUGGCUCAGAUUGAACGCUGGCGGCAGGCUUAACACAUGCAAGUCGAGCGGGGGAAGGUAGCUUGCUACCGGACCUAGCGGCGGACGGGUGAGUAAUGCUUAGGAAUCUGCCUAUUAGUGGGGGACAACAUCUCGAAAGGGAUGCUAAUACCGCAUACGUCCUACGGGAGAAAGCAGGGGAUCUUCGGACCUUGCGCUAAUAGAUGAGCCUAAGUCGGAUUAGCUAGUUGGUGGGGUAAAGGCCUACCAAGGCGACGAUCUGUAGCGGGUCUGAGAGGAUGAUCCGCCACACUGGGACUGAGACACGGCCCAGACU
rnacentral:rRNA from 1 species